rnacentral:rRNA from 1 species
CGGGUGNGUAAUGUCUGGGAAACUGCCUGAUGGAGGGGGAUAACUACUGGAAACGGUAGCUAAUACCGCAUAACGUCGCAAGACCAAANAGGGGGACCUUCGGGCCUCUUGCCAUCGGAUGUGCCCAGAUGGGAUUAGCUUGUUGGUGGGGUAACGGCUCACCAAGGCGACGAUCCCUAGCUGGUCUGAGAGGAUGACCAGCCACACUGGAACUGAGACACGGUCCAGACUCCUACGGGAGGCAGCAUG